rnacentral:rRNA from 1 species
GUAGGGAAUAUUGGGCAAUGGAUGCAAGUCUGACCCAGCCAUCCCGCGUGCCGGAAGAAGGCCCUCAGGGUUGUAAACGGCUUUUGACGGUGAAGAAUCGACAGGAUGCGUCCUGUUUUGACGGUAGCCGUUGAAUAAGCACCGGCUAACUCCGUGCCAGCAGCCGCGGUAAUACGGAGGGUGCGAGCGUUGUCCGGAUUUAUUGGGUUUAAAGGGUGCGUAGGCUGGAAGGUCAGUCAGCGGUGAAAAGCUGUCACUUAACGAUAGUCUUGCCGCAGAUACUUCCUUUCUUGGAUGAGGAGGAGGCCACUGGAACGGAUGGUGUAGCGGUGAAAUGCAUAGAUAUCAUCCAGAACACCGAUUGCGAAGGCAGGUGGCUGUACCUUAAUCGACGCUGAUGCACGAAAGCAUGGGGAGCAAACAGGAUUAGAAACCCCAGUAGUCC